rnacentral:rRNA from 1 species
UACAGAGGGUGCAAGCGUUAAUCGGAAUUACUGGGCGUAAAGCGUGCGUAGACGGUUACAUAAGUCGGGUGUGAAAUCCCCGGGCUUAACCUGGGAAUGGCAUUUGGGACUGCAAGGCUCGAGUGCGGCAGAGGAGACUGGAAUUCCUGGUGUAGCAGUGAAAUGCGUAGAUAUCAGGAGGAACACCGAUGGCGAAGGCAGGUCUCUGGGCUGACACUGACGCUCAUGCACGAAAGCGUGGGGAGCAAACAGG